AGUGAACGCUGGCGGCAUGCCUAACACAUGCAAGUCGAACGGCAGCACAGUAGGUGGUUGCUCGUGCGGGGGGCGGGAGGGGGGCGGGAUAGGAAGGCAUAGGUACUGACGUUGUCGAGAGGGAGGAGGAAGGGAGAUUUAUGCUGCUACCGCAUACGGCAUAAGAGUGGAGGCAGGGGAGGUUCGGACCUUGCGCGAUUGAAUGUGCCGAUGUCGGAUUAGCUAGUUGGUGGGGUAAAGGCCUACCAAGGCGACGAUCCGUAGCUGGUCUGAGAGGAUGAUCAGCCACACUGGAACUGAGACACGGUCCAGACUCCUACGGGAGGCAGCAGUGGGGAAUAUUGGACAAUGGGCGCAAGCCUGAUCCAGCCAUGCCGCGUGGGUGAAGAAGGCCUUCGGGUUGUAAAGCCCUUUUGUUGGGAAAGAAAAGCAGCACGUUAAUACCGUGCUGUUCUGACGGUACCGAAAGAAUAAGCACCGGCUAACUUCGUG
rnacentral:rRNA from 1 species